UAAGAAAGAAUGUAGAGUUCCAACAAAGCUAGUAGUAUUUAUCCAAUAAUGUAAAUAAUAUUAGAACACAUCCCUCUUUUCCUCCAAUGGAUUUAUAUGAUUCCAAAUAGUUUAGUCUCCCAUCCAAGUAUCUUAAGAGGAUUAAAUGACCUUAGCUUCAGCUGUUAAAUGCAGAAUGUGUAAAUUCAGGAGCUGGAAAAUGAAAAAAACAAGAGAUCUCCUAUUGUGACAACUCCUGUUUGCCUAGAAAUAUGCAAACUUCUCCAUUAAGCUCAAUCUCUUCAUAUAAUGAAUCUCCAUCCUGUUCCCUAUACAGAAGUUGGCGUUUCUCAAGACGUCACCUGUCAAUUGUGGCAAUUCUUCAUUCCAAACCACUGGGACUCCAUGUUUCACAGAACGGUCAAAAUGCUCGUUAAAAUAUGAGAGCUCACUUUGUUUCAAUUUGCAUUAAUGGCUCUGCAAUUAGAUAGCUGGACCUGUAAAUAUUUUUUAUGGCUCAUUACUUGCAGGUCAUACAUCCCACAGCACAAUUUUUUGAGGUGCCUUUGGGAAGCAAAUGUUUGUUAUCACCUUCUAGAAACUGUGUGUUAGAAAUUGGGCUAGGCCAAAUGGGUGGGGACGCUGGGUUCCCAUGCUGAAGAUUUGAGACAGGAUUAACAGGAUUAAUUUACACAACUGGCUUUCAGAAAAUAGCCUACAGGCCCUCAGAAUAGUGUUCCUGAGCUUGAAGUAUCAAACUCUGCUUACAUUUUGCAUUUUCCUGCCCAUGACAUACUUCACACAACCCAACCUUACAAGGAUUGGUAAAUCGUGUCGGUUUCAUAUUUCCAGUCUUACAUUCUGUUUAGAGCCCGUUUCCACAUCAGUUUGCAAAUGGGUGUGUCUGUGUUUUUUAUGUCUCCAUGGAAAUUUAUACCUUUUCCAGAAGCAUUUCUAUUUGUAUGCACUUCAGCAUGUGUUUCCCCUGUUAUAAACCUUUUUGUGCUAUGUUUUUGUUGGAGAGCUGCAAUGCAAAAUGCAAUGCGGAAAUGUGGAUUUUGAAGGAUAAAUGAGUUUCACUUUAUAUAUUGGUUCAGGAAUUAGGCAGGCUCACAACAAAAUACAGACCUAUCCGGUUACCCAACCAUUCCAACAUGGAGCUUUGUUUAUCUCUACACUAGUCGCUGUGGUAAGUGCAAUGAAACCCUUUGGUUGACUCUUUGGCUUGGAACAUCUUCAACUCCAUCCAGGAGUUUCCCAUAGAGACUCCUCAGGUCUUUCCUUUAUUCCAAUGUUUCUGUGUCUUGCUUAGAUUCAGGAUCCUAUUUUAGUGGAUACAAUUUGAGCCCUUGUUUAAGAUACAUAAUAUUAGUGCUGAAUUUCUGGAAAUUAACUUAUGGAACACGACUUAUUUUAAGUGAUUUCAAUUACAUCUGUUUAAGUUUUUUUUUCCAUUUCCAAGGCCCAGAGAUGUUUCAUUUACCUACGCUUACUUUUUAACAUCUUUAUUUAAUCUUCAUUUAAAUACAAUUUUAAAAUUAUCUGAUGCUCACGACAUGAUUGCCUAACGUGAGAUAAUAGCACCCAUCCCACUUAGAGCAAUUUAUUAUAAUUAUCCACUGAGCUGCUCCAGUAUUUUUUAAAAACUUGAACAAGGGAGAAUCAAUCUCUUAUGUUAUGAACAGCUCCUUAGAAGUAAGUAUUCCAUCUUGCUGACAUCAAAGUAUUGUGCGCAGGAAGCCUGAGAGAGCAUCUCUUCCACAAUGAGUGUAGAAAAGAAGGAACAACGCACAGAUGUUACCACAAAUGGGUUACACUCCCACAAACCAAAUGCUCAUGCAAGACCACCUAAAACAGGGAUAGUAGACAUUUUUUUUUCAUCCUGAGGGCAACAUUGCUUUCCAUACAACCACCAAGGAGCCAUAUGCCUGUGGUGGGUGGGGCCUGAUGCAAAAGUGGGAGGAGCAACAAACACAAUAGUACAGUUUCUACGCACACCCCUCUCUAUCCUGCAUCCAGGUAAUGAAAAAGUAGUAUGGACACAUUCCAGCCAUACAUACAAACAUGCAAGAAGGGCAUGAAGCAAGACCAGUAUGGGGUGGGGUCUGGUGAGAAGGCCUGGGGUCUGGAAAGUUCCCAAAGGGCUGGAUAGAGAAGCCUGAAGUACAUGGGCCUGAGAUUCCCCACCCCUGACUUAGACAUCCCUAUCCAGAGCCUCAGAAUAGCGUGAGAGCAGGGUAAGAUCAGGAGUAAAGAGGGGGAAGGGAAGCUGUUUUGUUGGCUGUCACCAACUGUCACCUGUUGGCAGCCUGUCAAUCAGGCUACUGAAAAUCCUUUGUCGCACAAAUAACCCAGAGAUGCAUUUUAAAUAAAAGGACACAUUCUAUUCAUGUAAAAACACGUUGAUUCCCGGACCGCCCAUGGGCUGGAUUUAGAAGACAAUUGGGCAGGAUUCAGCCCCCGGGCCUUCAGCACUAGUGCCUGGCUCUUUUCCCUCUCCCUCCUCACCUAUAUUUCCUUGUGUGCCAUGCUUUUUAGAUUGCACAUUUGAGGGCAGGGACUGUCUUGGUGUAGUGGUUAAGAGUGGUAGACCCGUAAUCUGGUGAACCGGGUUUGCGUCUCCGCUCCUCCUCAUGCAGCUGCUGGGUGACCUUGGGCCAGUCACACUUCUCUGAAGUCUCUCAGCCCUACUCACCUCACAGAGUGUUGUGGGGGAGGAAGGGAAAGGAGAUUGUUAGCCGCUUUGAGGCUCCUUAAGGGAAAGGCAGAAUAUCAAGUCCAAACUCCUCCUCCUCCUCCUUCUUGUUUUAUGGAUCUGGAAGCUAUGCUCCCCAACCCCUGGCUAGAGUGCAUGCAUAAAAUGUCUACCCUUUCUUUGGUUACUUGUAUAUAUUCAUUAUGUGGACUCAUGUGGUCUUUCCUCCUGUGUCUUAGAAUCAUAGAGUUGGAAGAGACCACAAGGGCCAUCGAGUCCAACCCCCACUGUGCUAGAAAACCACACACCUCACACUUGGGUUCAUCUCCACCGCAGCUUUAUACAAAUCAAAAGUAAUGGGAGGCUCCCUUCCGAUGUCUGCCCUGUAGUUCCCACACUAUCCUCCUAUUCCUUGCCUGAUUCACCCAUUUACAGUAAAAAUGUAAAGUCCUCGUUAAAAUCUCAGAUGGAAAGUAACUCAGUCUCUUCUGUCAGUUGCAUCUACAUUGGUAAAGAGAUAUAUGAUAUAUAUUUACGUAACCCAAGCCCUAAGAGUAUAGAGAGUGAAGAACACACUACAUUUCUAUAGCAACUUACACGAGAGAUGGAAAGCUAUAAGCUUGAGUUUCAGGAAAUGACCACAAGAGGGCAUGACAGUGAUACAGAAAGAAGAGAAAAGUAUUUUAAUCUAACCUUUUCCAAGUCGGGCUUCGGUUCUCCUUCAGGAGAUCUUUCCCAGAACAUUCCCUUUGACAUUCUUUUUGAAAGCCAUUUAUGAACGGUGUUAUUUGGCCGCCAACACUUGCCUGUCUCUUAAAGUCAUCUCUCGUGUUCCUGAAGCAUCUGAAAGUUGUGAGCUUUUAACACAUUCUCUCUAAACAGUAUUGCUCUUAACUGGUUUGCAUAGUGGCGAGAAGCAACAGCAACACCAUCAAUGCUCACAAUUAUACAGCUAGGGGUAGAAUUCGGGUUCCUGCUCCACAGUAAGUCACCAGAUGACUCCACCUUAAAGAGUGAAAUAUGAUAGGGGCAGUUGCAAACAAGCCUAGCAUCUGGGCUGGUACAGAAUGUGGUGGUUAGCUUGUUUCUGAGGACAAAUUACAACCUGCAUAAAGCACUUUGCUUGUGAGAUUUGCACUGGCUGCCAGUUUACUAGUGGGCAAAGUUGUUAUGAGUAUGUAAAUCUCUAUAUAGUUUGGGAUCAGGUUACCUAAGAGAUCAGCUUAUCCCUUAUAUACCAAAGAGAUCACUGUGGUCUGCAGCCAACUCUCUGCCACAAGUUCUCAGAAAUCUGCUCCACAGUAACUCAGAGAAAGGCUUUUAGUGCGGCUGCCACUGUUCUGUGGAAUAGUGUUCGUCUUGAGCUACGACAGGUGCCUACCUUCUGCACUUUCUGGAAACUGGUGAAAAUCCCCCCCCCCCCCAGGCGACUUUCCCUGCUUGGUAAAUGAAUGCCUACAAAUAGUGUUGGGUUUUUAAUCCUAUUUGUUGUUUUUCUGUUUAACUAUUUUUAAUUAAUUAGCGUGUUAAUUGCCUUUAGAUGGUGGUUCAGAAGGCGAUUAAUAAAUUAUUAUUAAUAAGUGAAAAGAACAGGGUAGGUCUUACAAAAUAUAUAGACUAGCAUGUUGCAUAUUGUUCCAGAAAGGGCAAAAUAGGUGGUUGCUGUUGGCAUCCAUCUGUCUGAAAAGACAGUGUGCCUCUGGGGAAGAAAUCAAACCUCUAGAGAAUUACACCAACUGUUGUGGCUGCAGAGACCAGUUCCUUGUAACUGCUGCCUCUUGGCAGUUUUUGUUGCACUAGCAGCACUGAAGUGACCUCUCUGGGGAGCAAGCCUGGGCGGUGUGUAUGGAGGUCCUAGGCUGCCCAGACAACAAGACCCUCCUCUUGGCCUUGGUGAAAGGAAAGGAAAGCAUCUCAACCACCUUAGGGAUUCUUAGUCCUUUUUCCUCUACAAAGCAGCAGGUAUGGGUUUUUUUCCUUGGAGGUUACUCCUGAAGCCUUUCUCAUGAAUGAGUUUAGCCACAAAGCAAUGGAGGUUUAGGACCAGAGUUUUCUUCUUCUAGAUGGGCUUCCUUCCCAGGUUGACAAGCCCUUCAUUUCUCUCAAAUCAUGUGCAGAAACCACCUCCUUGGCUGUUGGACCCACUAUUGGGCUCAAAACACCAGAGCCCAUAUUCACAUGCAGCGGAAGUCCCUAAUUCACCUGACCAGUCAAAGCUGUUCCUGGGAUUGUGGCUGCUGUUGCAUGCUGACAGUUUCUAGGAGCCACAGGUGAGAGCUGAGUGCAGGGUGGGGAGCAAAGGUAGACAUACUACCCCAGAAGAAGCAAGGCAACCCAAAAGUAGCAUGAUGUGUCUCCCACAAGAGGUACUAAAGGUAAAGGUAAAGGGACCCCUAACCACAAGAGGUACUACCCUACCUGCAACUCCCAACACACCCUGCAGACUAGAUAGGUUCACAUGAAGGACCUAAUCAAAUUGGAUUUCUCCUGCAGCCCUACUUCUGGCUAAAUUCCUGCAAAACAAAUCUGAUGAGGUUUUAGAGGGACAUUUUAAUUUGUGGCUGCUGUAUUUCUGUUGUGGUCAUAAAAGCAUCUGCUCCAGACAACCUUGACACUUUAUAAAUCAAUUCAUCAUAAAAUAAGCCGUGGGUUGUAGCAAAAUGUACUGUUCUCUUCCUGAAUAUAAUUCCUGUUAAACCACAGGAUAGAGCUCUUAAGUUCGAGAACAUUGAUCUAAAUUCUUGCUCACAUUGUUCUGAAAUGGUCUACAC
rnacentral:lncRNA from 1 species